UGUUUUUGUAACAUCGUUCUCUUAUCCCCUCUCUUUUUGAUUAGUCUUUUUUGUAUAUGAUGUUUAUGUUUGAUUAGCAAGCAUAAUAUUUUCUUAUGGUAGUAUUGUGUGUGUUUGUCCAGUAAUUUGUUUAUGUCAAAAUGUAUGUCUUUAUCGUCUGUAAAUAAUUUGUUGCUCCUAGUGCUGUCUUUUAUGAAUUUUCGACAUAGAAUUCUACAAUUGGUCUCAACGUCUCCGAGAAGCAUAUUAGAGCUCGAAUACAGUUACAUUGAUUCAGGUUAGAUCCAAGUGAAGAACUUGAAUCAAAUAACCCUGAACCAACUGAGUCAGACACGCAAGAUUAAAGAUUCAGACCUGGAUAUAAUAGAAUUCAAGCCUACCAUAAUGGCAAACGAAACUGUUGCCCAGCGGGCAUACAUAAAAGAUAUAUCAAGCGCCAUACCCAAAUUCAAUUCAGGAAAAACUGCUUAAAAAUGUACCAUUGAAAUAUACAAUUUACGAAAGCUACUUGAAUCUUUGUAUAUCGAUGAAGGUUUAUCUGCCGAACAUGCUGAUAAGUUCAGCACAAAAUAAGCCAUUACAGCAAUGGGUAAAAACCGUGAGCAUGGCAGACUAAAAACAAUUCUAGAAGCUGGUAACUUUACCACAAUCAAUUAUGCCAUCACGCAGUAUAUACAAUGUAGUACGGAAAUGACAGGCAACGUGAACUCCAAAUUAUACGCACGUGGAGGACUAGCCUAUAGAGGCUAGAAUAGACGACAUACUCUAUCAACUAGGCAGAGAAAAAUACUUUUCAUGCUUAGAUUUAAUGUCAGGAUUUAAUCAAAUAGAACUCAAAAAAAACUCUUUGAAUAUAACGUCAAUUUCCACGAGCAAUGGCUCCAAUCGUUUCACGCGAUUACCUUAUGGAUUAAAAAUAGCACCACAUUAUUUUCAAAGAAUGAUGACAAAUGCAUAUUCAGGUAUCAGGAAACAGAACCUUAAAUUGCACCAAGAAAAGUGCACAUUUUUCGGACACGAAGUCACCUACCAUGGACAUAAGUGUACGGACAAAGGUAUUCUACUAGACAACAAGAAAUAUGAGGUCAUACACAGUCCCAACGGACGCAGAUGGCGCUGGAAAAUUCAUUGCAUUCUGCAAUUAUUACAGAAGAUUCAUUAACAAUUUUCAAGACACAUAACGCGAUUAUACAAAAAGAAUGUAAAAUUCGAGUGGUCAGAUCAAUGUCAAAAAGCCUUCCAGUACAUAAAAAUACAACUGAUUAAACCAACA